rnacentral:rRNA from 1 species
GACGAACGCUGGCGGCGUGCUUAACACAUGCAAGUCGAACGGAAAGGCCCCUUUGGGGGUACUCGAGUGGCGAACGGGUGAGUAACACGUGAGUAACCUGCCCUUGACUUCGGGAUAACUUCAGGAAACUGGGGCUAAUACCGGAUAGGAAUCCUUGCUGCAUGGUGGGGGUUGGAAAGCUUCGGCGGGUUUGGAUGGACUCGCGGCUUAUCAGCUUGUUGGUGGGGUAGUGGCUUACCAAGGCUUUGACGGGUAGCCGGCCUGGGAGGGCGACCGGCCACCUUGGGACUGAGAUACGGCCCAGACUCCUACGGGAGGCCGCAGGGGGGAAUAUUGCACGAUGGGCGGAAGCCUGAUGCAGCAACGCCGCGUGCGGGAUGACGGCCUUCGGGUUGUAAACCGCUUUCAGCAGGGGCGAAGCUUGUGGUGACGGUACCUGCAGAAGAAGCACCGGCUAACUACGUG